GAGAGGAACUUUAGAGGUUCUCAUGUAACGCCUCUGUCUUUAGCUCAACCCCCUCAGAGGCCAGGAAACACAGAGGGUAUAAAAGAUCUGAGAGCAGCUCCACUCAGGCUUCAGACCUGCAUCACCUGCGCCAAUCUCACACUGCAUUUCAGUGCUAUUGCAAUGCUGUCCCGGACGCUGGUUGUUCCGUUGAUCUUUGCAUUAGUGGGUGUCUCUAUUUCUGCACCAAUAAAUGAUGGAACAGAUAAUGAUGAGGCGGCUGCAGCCCUAGGGAUCCUCAAUGGUAAGGUGCAAUGAAUACGAGCUCUAUUUCUGCAUAAAUCAAUUUACCAUAAAAGGUUUUGGAGGUCAUCUGUUUUUCUCUCUUUUUUCAGCUUCUCCAACUCCAGUCCCUGGAAAUGGAGACUCAGGUUGGUCUGGCUGAUAUAUGAUGAAUUCUAGCUGUAAAAUAUGUUAUAUAACCAGAAAGUCUAA
rnacentral:lncRNA from 12 species